rnacentral:rRNA from 1 species
AGCGAACGCUGGCGGCAGGCUUAACACAUGCAAGUCGAACGGGCACUUCGGUGCUAGUGGCAGACGGGUGAGUAACACGUGGGAACGUACCUUUCGGUUCGGAAUAAUUCAGGGAAACUUGGACUAAUACCGGAUACGCCCUUCGGGGGAAAGAUUUAUCGCCGAUAGAUCGGCCCGCGUCUGAUUAGCUAGUUGGUGAGGUAAAGGCUCACCAAGGCGACGAUCAGUAGCUGGUCUGAGAGGAUGAUCAGCCACAUUGGGACUGAGACACGGCCCAAACUCCUACGGGAGGCAGCAGUGGGGAAUAUUGGACAAUGGGCGCAAGCCUGAUCCAGCCAUGCCGCGUGGGUGAUGAAGGCCUUAGGGUUGUAAAGCUCUUUUGUCCGGGAAGAUAAUGACUGUACCGGAAGAAUAAGCCCCGGCUAACUUCGUGCCAGCAGCCGCGGUAACAC